AGCAACUGAUUUUUUGAUGGCCAAGUAAUUGACUGGGUGAGAUAUUAUUUGAUGAGACUUUUACAUAAAGUGGAGGUCUUGUGUGCUCUGCGCCAAUGUUACAAAUCCAAUGGAUGUUUUUAUAAAGACAGAGCUCUCCCCUAUCCUCAUUUCCUGCUAACUAUGUAUUUGCUCUGUGAGUCAGCUGGACUGGUCCUCCCAAGAGACAACUGACUGCUCAUGGUGCUGUAUUUAUACACAGCCAGAGUGAAGGCGUGUGCUACCCCUAGAAGGGUCAGCCAGGAGCUCAUCAUCAGAACCCUUUGAGUAUAAUCAAGGAAACUCUCUGCUCCACCCUAAGACUGACCUAUUUAAACAGGGAGACAAAGCAGCUGAGGACAUCUCUGCUUUUGAACCAUCAAGGAGCCAUGCCUUGAGUCAGAGGAGCUGUAAAUUGGGCUGGUGGCUCUGUCCAGCAUUCUGAGCAAGGAGGACCUUCAAUGUGAGAGGAAUUGGAGGAAAGGCAUAAAGGAGACCUGUGUUCCAGUGACAGAGGAAGGUUCCAAUCAGGCCGGGAGCACCAUUGUGCUGGUUCCUGUAUGCACACACAACAAGACCAUCUCAAUCCACAGAGGAAGAUCAGGGGAUGGGGAUACACCAUAAGAGCAAAUGAAACUGAUGAAAAAUUGUCCCAGCUUUGUUACCUGCAUUAAGAGUAAAAGACCUCUCAGGAAGAACUAGACUGUCACAGCUGAUGCCCAACAGUGACUCCCAUGGCCAGAUGUUGAAAAUGCAUGAAAUGUUCUUUUCAUUGCCAAACAAUGAAAUAAACACUGCCGUUCCAUAUUAAACUGUUCAGUGCCAACAAUCAUGCACUGAUUUGCGAGAAAUGCCAAUGCUAAAUGAGAAACAGAGGGACAAUAACACACAAUGAAAUUAAAGCAGCCAGCAAAGGCCUCAAACAUGGGCAAGCUCUUGGAACUGACAGAGCUCAUGGGCAGGGUGGGUGGAGAGAGAGCAAAGGCCGGAUUUCACAGAGGUUUGGUAAGAAAAUGCAGCACAAUUCCAGAUGCUCUGAACCUAGACUACUUAUCACUAGGACCACUCAAUGCGAGUCUAUGUAUUUAAUCAAGUGUGGUGUGGUUUUGGUUUUAGCUCUUG